CGGUAAUACGGAGGGUGCGAGCGUUAUCUGGAAUUACUGGGCGUAAAGCGCGUGUAGGCGGGGAUGCAAGUCUGAUGUGAAAGCCCCGGGCUUAACCUGGGAAGUGCAUUGGAAACUGCAUUUCUUGAGUGCUGGAGAGGAAGGGGGAAUUCCCGGUGUAGAGGUGAAAUUCGUAGAGAUCGGGAGGAAUACCAGUGGCGAAGGCGCCCUUCUGGACGGCAACUGACGCUGAGACGCGAAAGCGUGGGGAGCAAACAGGAUUAGAUACCCUGGUGACUCACGCUGUAAACGAUGAUCAUCAGGUGUAGCGGGUAUCUAUUCCUGCUGUGCCGCAGCUAACGCGUUAAGUGAUCCGCCUGGGGACUACGGUCGCAAGACUAAA
rnacentral:rRNA from 1 species